rnacentral:rRNA from 1 species
AGGGUUGAUAGUACCGGAAGAGGAAGGGACGGCUAACUUCGUGCCAGCAGCCGCGGUAAUACGAAGGUCCCGAGCGUUGUUCGGAAUCACUGGGCGUAAAGGGAGCGUAGGCGGCGUGGCAAGUCAGACGUGAAAUCCCGGGGCUCAACCCCGGAACUGCGUCCGAUACUGCCAUGCUUUGAGGGUUGGAGAGGUAGCUGGAAUUCUUGGUGUAGCAGUGAAAUGCGUGGAUAUCAAGAGGAACACUCGUGGCGAAAGCGAGCUACUGGACAACACCUGACGCUGAGGCUCGAAGGCCAGGGGAGCGAAAGGGAUUAGAUACCCCUGUAGUCCUGGCAGUAAACGGUGCACGCUUGGUGUGAGGGGAUUCGACCCCCCUCGUGCCGGAGCAAACGCGUUAAGCGUGCCGCCUGGGAAGUACGGUCGCAAGACUAAAACUCAAAGAAAUUGACGGGGACCCGCACAAGCGGUGGAGUAUGUGGCUUAAUUCGAUGCAACGCGAAGAACCUUACCUGGGCUUGACAUGCAUCUCUAAGCGCGUGAAAGCGCGUGACCCUUCGGGGGAUUUGCACAGGUGCUGCAUGGCCGUCGUCAGCUCGUGUCGUGAGAUGUUGGGUUAAGUCCCGCAACGAGCGCAACCCUUGUGAUCAGUUGCCAGCGCGUCAAGGCGGGAACUCUGGUCAGACUGCCCAGAUCAACUGGGAGGAAGGUGGGGACGACGUCAGGUCAGUAUGGCCCUUACGCCCAGGGCUGCACACGUACUACAAUGCCCAGUACAAUGAGAACCGAUGCCGCGAGGUGGAGGAAAUCUGUAAAACUGGGCCCAGUUCGGAUUGGAGGCUGCAACUCGCCUCCAUGAAGUUGGAAUCGCUAGUAAUGGCGCAUCAUCUACGGCGCCGUGAAUACGUUCCCGGGUCUUGUACACACCGCCCGUCACAUCAUGGAAGCCGGUUUCACCCGAAGUGCCUGUAUCAACCGCAAGGAGACAGGGCCCUAAGGCGUGGCUGGUAACUGGGAUGAAGUCGUAACAAGGUAGCCGAAUCU